GAUGAAGAACGCAGCGAAAUGCGAUAAGUAAUGUGAAUUGCAGAAUUCAGUGAAUCAUCGAAUCUUUGAACGCACAUUGCGCCCGCCAGUAUUCUGGCGGGCAUGCCUGUUCGAGCGUCAUUUCAACCAUCAAGCCCCCGGCUUGUGUUGGGGACCUGCGGCUGCCGCAGGCCCUGAAAACCAGUGGCGGGCUCGCCGUAGCACCGAGCGUAGUAGCACACUUCUCGCUCCGGUAGCAGCGGCGGGCGCUUGCCGUAAAAACCCCCCCUAAAAUCUCAAGGUUGACCUCGGAUCAGGUAGGAAUACCCGCUGAACUUAAGCAUAUCAAUAAGCGGAGGA
rnacentral:misc_RNA from 1 species